rnacentral:rRNA from 1 species
GGGGGAUCAGUGGCGAACGGGUGAGUAACACGUGAGUAACCUGCCCUUCACUCUGGGAUAAGCCUUGGAAACGGGGUCUAAUACCGGAUACGAGACGCACGGGCAUCUGUAGCGUCUGGAAAGAUUUAUCGGUGAAGGAUGGACUCGCGGCCUAUCAGCUUGUUGGUGGGGUAAUGGCCUACCAAGGCGACGACGGGUAGCCGGCCUGAGAGGGCGACCGGCCACACUGGGACUGAGACACGGCCCAGACUCCUACGGGAGGCAGCAGUGGGGAAUAUUGCACAAUGGGCGCAAGCCUGAUGCAGCGACGCCGCGUGCGGGAUGACGGCCUUCGGGUUGUAAACCGCUUUCAGCAGGGAAGAAGCGAGAGUGACGGUACCUGCAGAAGAAGCGCCGGCUAACUACGUGCCAGCAGCCGCGGUAAUACGUAGGGCGCAAGCGUUGUCCGGAAUUAUUGGGCGUAAAGAGCUCGUAGGCGGUUUGUCGCGUCUGCUGUGAAAACCUCAGGCUCAACCUGGGGCUUGCAGUGGGUACGGGCAGACUAGAGUGCGGUAGGGGUGACUGGAAUUCCUGGUGUAGCGGUGGAAUGCGCAGAUAUCAGGAGGAACACCGAUGGCGAAGGCAGGUCACUGGGCCGCAACUGACGCUGAGGAGCGAAAGCAUGGGGAGCGAACAGGAUUAGAUACCCUGGUAGUCCAUGCCGUAAACGUUGGGCACUAGGUGUGGGGUCCAUUCCACGGAUUCCGUGCCGCAGCAAACGCAUUAAGUGCCCCGCCUGGGGAGUACGGCCGCAAGGCUAAAACUCAAAGAAAUUGACGGGGGCCCGCACAAGCGGCGGAGCAUGCGGAUUAAUUCGAUGCAACGCGAAGAACCUUACCAAGGCUUGACAUACACCGGAAACGUGCAGAGAUGUGCGCCCCGCAAGGCCGGUGUACAGGUGGUGCAUGGUUGUCGUCAGCUCGUGUCGUGAGAUGUUGGGGUUAAGUCCCGCAACGAGCGCAACCCUCGUCCCAUGUUGCCACCGGGGUUAUUGCCGGGGACUCAUGGGAGACUGCCGGGGUCAACUCGGAGGAAGGUGGGGAUGACGUCAAAUCAUCAUGCCCCUUAUGUCUUGGGCUUCACGCAUGCUACAAUGGCCGGUACAAAGGGCUGCGAUACCGCGAGGUGGAGCGAAUCCCAAAAAGCCGGUCUCAGUUCGGAUUGGGGUCUGCAACUCGACCCCAUGAAGUCGGAGUCGCUAGUAAUCGCAGAUCAGCAACGCUGCGGUGAAUACGUUCCCGGGCCUUGUACACACCGCCCGUCAAGUCAUGAAAGUCGGUAACAC